rnacentral:rRNA from 1 species
GACGAACGCUGGCGGCGUGCCUAAUACAUGCAAGUCGAACGCAGUGGGGACGGGUGAGUAACACGUGGGUAACCUCCCAUCAGAGGGGAUAACACUUGGAAACAGGUGCUAAACCGAUACUGAUGGAUGGACCCGCGGUACAUUAGCUAGUUGGUGAGGUAACGGCUCACCAAGGCCACGAUGCAUAACGUACCUGAUAGGGUGAUCUGCAACACUGGUACUGAGACACGGCCCAGACUCCUACGGGAGGCAGCAGUGGGGAAUAUUCGUCAAUGGACGAAAGUCUGACCGAGCCACGCCGCGUGGGUGAAGAAGGUUUUCGGAUCGUAAAACUCUGUUGUUUGAGAGGCGUUAUCUAACCAGAACGCCGCGGCUAACUCCGUGCCAGCAGCCGCGGUAAUAC